rnacentral:lncRNA from 1 species
AGGCUCCAAAUAGCUCGCCCGAACCCUAACAUCUGUGUGCGCAUGCUCGCUUGAUUCCUAGCGGAAAGUUUGUGUGCGCAUGCUCCAAGGAGCCGCGCCCCAUCGGCUUCCCUAACGGAAAAUCCGCUGCGCAUGCUCAUAAACCUGCUCUCCUAGGAGACCUGAAGGCUGCUUCCGCUAACCCGGGCUGGCGCUGCUAACCUCACCCAACGAUCCCUGCUGUCGGAAAAUGUCCAGAGGCACCAUCCCUGCUAUGAAGAGGGAAUGCCAGUACAACAGCCACAAGGGGUCUUCCUGUGGCCCUCAAACAAAAAAUCACUGCAUUACAUCAGCAACUGCAUUGGAGAGAAAGGCGCCGGGACAGAAAAGCCUGAGAUAAACCACCUGUCAUUCUUGGAGAAAAGGAUGCUGCGGCUUUCCCGAUUUGGUUGAUGAGAUGGAAAAUCAACCCUUACAGGAAGGACAUCACCAAUUCCGGAAAGGAUGCUGCGCCAGUCAUGUUUCCGCACUCUGUGAGACGUUGAAAUCUCCAGAAGUUGCCCAAGGUUUUCAAGCUGAACACAGGAGAAAUGACUCUGGAUCUCUGAGGACUGUUUUCCUCAAUAAGGAGCUGCAAUCUUGGCUCCACCACCCUCCCUCCAAAACAUCUCGUGUGUCUGGUAUCUGGUUAUAUUGUGGCCUGACAGAGAAGUUUCUUUCGGGGCCAGUGAAUUAAAAAAAAAAAAAAAAAGAAAAGCGGGUCCUACCAACUCAUUAAUACUUUAAUACUUUAAAUUUCCCUCUUUAUAGUAGGUUGAAAUGUCAGUAUCUCUUAAGAACAAUGGCUGAACCAAAUGUUUCCUCAAAACUCACAUUUUUUCCCACCAUUUCAGAAGCUGCCUCAGGACUAAGCUUUGAUUUUUUUUUUUUUUUUUAAUCUGGCCCAAAUUCCUAUCUAAGGGGCCUGGGGAGUCAUGCCCAACAAACCAUAAAUUCUCAUCAGAUGAGUUUUAUUUAACCCUAUAUAUGGUGACUUGCUUUCCAGUCUGACUCUGGCAUGACAUGUGACAAAGAAGAAAGUCAAAAUAUUUUACCCCAAAACAUGUUUCUUUGCCAUAUUUUGAAAUGGUCCUGCAAAGCUGUGCUUUGUGGGGGAAAAUAUGCAUCUGUAAAGAAUCUCUAUUAACACAGCUAGAUCUUUUUCUUCCAGGCCCUCCCAAUCCUGAAGAGACUGAGAGUCUAGCAUUGUUUUAAAGGUCUGAAUAGGAAACAUUUGUCAUCUAUCAUCUCUAAGGGUAGCCAUUAUAAGACUUCAAAAGAACCUUUUGAAGUAUUAUAAUCUUUUAUCUUAACCUGAACAUGUGCUUCCUAUUGAUCCCAGGUCUUCAGACAAUUGUGAACUCAACCAUUUGUCAAUUAGAAAAUGUUUAAAUUGGCUGGGCACAGUGUCUCAUGCCUCUAAUCCCAGCACUUUGGAAGACCAAGGCGGGCAGAUUGCCUGACCUCAGGAGUUCGAGACCAGCCUGGGCAACAUGGUGAAACCCCGUCUCUACUAAAAUACAAAAAUUUAGCCGGGCGUAGUGGCAUGCACCUGUAGUCCCAGCUACUUGGGAAGCUGAGGAAGGAGAAUUGCUUGAACCCGGCGGGCAGAGGUUGCAGUAAGCAGAGAUCGUGCCACUGCACUCCAGCUUGGGCAACAAAGUGAGACUCCAUCACAGAAAAAAAAAAGAAAAUGUUUACCUUUACCUAUAGCCUGGAAAUCCCUGCUUUGAGUUGCUCCAUCUUUCUGAACCAAACCAAUGUUAUUUCUUAAACGUAUUUCAUUGAUGUCUCAUGCCUCCCUAAAAUGUAUAAAACCAAGCUGUGCCCCGAACACCUUGGGCACAUGUUCUCAGGACCUCCUGAGGGCCGUGUCACGGGUCAUAAUCACUCAUAUUUGGCUCAGAAUAAAUCUCUUCAAACAUUUUACAGAGUUGACUCUUAGUCAA